rnacentral:misc_RNA from 1 species
GGAUAAUCAAGUAAUUUUAAAGUAGAUUAAUUAGUCAAAUUAAAGUCGGAAAUUAUUUAAGUUAUAAAUUAAAGUUAGGAAUGAUAAAUGAUUCUAAAAUUCCCUAAGCUUAGCGACGUUUAGUGAAAUUAGCGACGGGUCGCUUGACUGAAUUGAGGUGAGAAACAGGGAGGGAGAAUCCAAAAUGAGGGAAGCCAAUCAAACGAGCAAGAAAAGUAGAAAGCUCUAAUUUCUAAAACCCUACACUGAUUAGAAAUUUCCUUAGUUUUACGAGUCUAAUUAGCAAUUGCUUUUGAAUUAAUGUAUUCUAUUGAUAUGGAAAGUAGUCUGUUGAUUUAGCAUUUUAAUUGUUCUCUUUCUACUUGAUUUUUUACCCUAAAAUUUGUGCUUUUCUUUCUGCCUUAAAUCUCGAUGUGCUAUAACAGAUUUCUGAGUGGGGCAAGCAUGGACGUUUCAUCUUGGGACGGAACCCUUUCGCUGAAUGAAUUUUCUCUUGCUGCUCAAGCUUUUGAAGAGAAAUGGAAAAUCAGCAACUCUGCUUCCCCUCCUUGGUUAUGGGUUAACGCCCCAAUACGACCUUUUGUUGCUUCUCAAAAAGUUGGGGAACAUUAUUAGUUAUGGCAAUUCUCGUGUUCUAUAGCUUCUCACAUGGUUUGUUUGCUUGUUUUAUGCUCUCUUUUGCCAGGUUGAUGGAUUCUUGUCAAUGGAAAACAUUUGUCUUCUCAGACCCAGUGAGGACAAUGGUGCUGAAGUAAUGAAGUUAGUCGUUUAGAGGAAGAAGAGACCAGUUUAUCUGAGAAAGAAGAGGCAAUUGAUGAUGCCACAUUGGUAUUCCCUUUUUCUGCAUACAUAUUUUUCAGCUUAUCCAAAUGGAUAUAUGUUUUGAUCUAUUCUUACAGCAUAGAAGUGUUAUAUUGCAAAUGAUUGCUUAUUCAUUCUCAUUUUCCUUACAGCACCAAUCUAUUCUUUGUUCUCUGUUGCAAGGUGCAUAGUAAUCAUCAUGAAGUACAUUAAUAUGAUUUCCACAUUGUAUACAGUGCUUCAUAUAGGGUUCCGGUGCUAUAUUUUCGUGGAUAUGAUAGUGGUUGGUUCCGCUCUUUUUGUGUUGUUACUUGAUUGGCAUUCUACUUUACAGCUGCUUAUUGAAACUUCUUUGAUUAUGCGACUGAAUGAUAACUCCACAAUUAGAUCAAGUGUCAACAUGGGUUGAAUUAUUUUGUUUGAAGUGUUUCCCAUCUGUACACUGUCCUCAUUUUAAUUUUUUGUACAGAUGGACUGCCUUUGCAGUUGAAUGAAAUUGAAAAGGACCUUCCUGCUUGCUCUGCAAAGGUGUUGCUGGAAUCAAAAUGGACUUUUAUGACUCUAUGAUUUUUCAUUUUGUCAAUUUGUCCUCACUUCAUCAAUUUGGAUUUGCUUUCUGCAUUCUUUUCAAUUGCUACAUUACUGUGAAAGCUACAAAUAGACAUGUCAAUUGCAAUUCGAAUAGGUAGUUAAUUCCUCCUAUAUCCUUUCAACCUCUUCAUUGCUUACUUUCAAGUACAUUAGCCAGGGUUUCUUAUAAUUACAAGGAAUGAACAGACUAUUGAAUUUGGCCAAUAACAUGCAACAUGCAUGCUAUGAUCUUUCACAAUAUUCAUAUAUCGUAGUUUUAUGUUUCCAGCACAUCUGGAAAUACUCUUGCAUGUAGUAGACAUUACUGAGGCAUUGUUUGUUAAAUUUAAGUCUUGUUUGGUUCCGUGGUUGUGGUUAACUUUAAAUGUUAGUGACCGGCCGCUAAUGGCUGAAGGGCCAAACAUGCACCACUCGUCCAAAUAGGCACUUUGUUUUGAAAGACGCUUUAGUUACUGAAUUUAUAUUUAGAAUUUGUAAGUACUAAUCUUUUGGAAUCUAGGAGCAUCCAUACUUCAACAGACCAUGGUACAAGUUACAUCCAUGUGGGACCAGUGAAUGGAUGAAGUUGCUUUUCCUUGAUGAAGCUGUGUUGGCUGAAAGCAAAGUAGCAAUUGAACUACAUCUGGUGUCCUGGUUCUCAGUCGUUGGUCAGGUGAUUGGUCUUAGGGUUCCUAUAGAAAUGGUCAAUGGUCGUAUUAAUUAAUGGCUAUGAUUUGGUCCAAAAAAGGAAGGUUGUAACUUAAUGUGAAAUGUUUUAAGUAAAUGAAUUAGUCUUCUCAACAAAGAGAUUUGGGGAAAGAAUAUUGAACUGUGUAAUCUUUUGCCAUGAAAUCGAUGAAGAUUGAAGGAUUAGAUGAAACCCCUAGAAGGAUGCCUAGCAUCUCUGACUCUGUUUUUCGUGAAGCAAUAUGAAAAAGUUAGGAUUUAGAAUUUGUCUUUUUGGCAUUGUUAAUUUUCCACGGUAUCAUCUCCAGAAAGCUCAGAGAUAC